UGGGGAAUCUUGGACAAUGGGGGCAACCCUGAUCCAGCGACGCCGCGUGGGUGGUAAGGCCUUCGGGUUGUAAAGCCCUUUCACCGGGGAAGAUGAUGACAUUACCCGGAGAAGAAGCGCCGGCUAACUCCGUGCCAGCAGCCGCGGUAAGACGGAGGGCGCUAGCGUUGUUCGGAAUCACUGGGCGUAAAGGGCGCGUAGGCGGCUGUUUAAGUCGAGGGUGAAAGCCCGGGGCUCAACCCCGGAACGGCCUUCGAGACUGGGCAGCUCGAGACCGGAAGAGGAGGGUGGAAUACCCAGUGUAGAGGUGAAAUUCGUAGAUAUUGGGUGGAACACCAGUGGCGAAGGCGCUCUACUGGGCCGCAACUGACGCUGAGGGACGAAAGCUAGGGGAGCGAAAGGGAUUAGAUACCCCCGUAGUCC
rnacentral:rRNA from 1 species